GUUUUUGCAUCUUCCGCAGGUCAGUUUCACUCCACCUGAGGCCUUCUGUGUACUGCCCCGGGGGACACACAUGUGGCACAGGCCUCAGUGUGGCCUCUGGUGUGCAGCAUGCUGAGUGGCCUGGCCUCGGGGGAGGAAGAUGGCAGGGACUCCCCAGAUGACUGGCCACCUGACUCAGCUUCUCUGAGAAUCACUGGACAAGAUGCCCUAACACAACGCCUCAGCAGAAGCGUUUGAGCUCGUGACAGGUGUUCCGGCAGAAGACCUCCCGGCGGACGUACUGAUUGUUCAUCCCCUGAAAAAGAAAAUAUCAGUCGAACCCCCGUAGAACACGUUCUCUUGGACUCUGGAAGACAUGAAAACUGAGUCUGGGAAAGACUGAACAACAUGACCAUGAUCCCACAGCUGUAAGUGGCAGAGCUGAGGCUCAAACCUAUGGCAGUCUGACCUCAAAGCCUGCAGGUGCUCUUAAAGCUGGAUGUGGCCGAGCAUUGAAUGGG